AACGAACGCUGGCGGCAGGCUUAACACAUGCAAGUCGAGCGCCCCGCAAGGGGAGCGGCAGACGGGUGAGUAACGCGUGGGAAUCUACCCAUCUCUACGGAAUAACGCAUGGAAACGUGUGCUAAUACCGUAUACGUCCUUCGGGAGAAAGAUUUAUCGGAGAUGGAUGAGCCCGCGUUGGAUUAGCUAGUUGGUGGGGUAAAGGCCUACCAAGGCGACGAUCCAUAGCUGGUCUGAGAGGCUGAUCAGCCACACUGGGACCGAGACACGGCCCAGACUCCUACGGGAGGCAGCAGUGGGGAAUAUUGGACAAUGGGCGCAAGCCUGAUCCAGCCAUGCCGCGUGAGUGAUGAAGGCCCUAGGGUUGUAAAGCUCUUUCACCGGUGAAGAUAAUGACGGUAACCGGAGAAGAAGCCCCGGCUAACUUCGUGCCAGCAGCCGCCGUAAGAC
rnacentral:rRNA from 1 species